AUUGAACGCUGGCGGCAUGCCUUACACAUGCAAGUCGAACGGCAGCACGGGAGCAAUCCUGGUGGCGAGUGGCGAACGGGUGAGUAAAGUAUCGGAACGUGCCCAGUCGUGGGGGAUGACGUAGCGAAAGUUACGCUAAUACCGCAUACGAUCUAGGGAUGAAAGCGGGGGAUCGCAAGACAUCGCGCGAUUGGAGCGGCCGAUAUCAGAUUAGGUAGUUGGUGGGGUAAAGGCUCACCAAGCCGACGAUCUGUAGCUGGUCUGAGAGGACGACCAGCCACACUGGGACUGAGACACGGCCCAGACUCCUACGGGAGGCAGCAGUGGGGAAGUUUGGACAAUGGGCGCAAGCCUGAUCCAGCCAUGCCGCGUGCAGGAUGAAGGCCUUCGGGUUGUAAACUGCUUUUGUACAGAACGAAAAGGUUUGACUUAAUACGUUGGACUCAUGACGGUACCGUAAGAAUAAGCACCGGCUAACUACGUGCCAGCAGCCGCCGUAA
rnacentral:rRNA from 1 species